rnacentral:hammerhead_ribozyme from 1 species
AUUCAACUGACGAGUCCCAAAUAGAACGAAAUGCGCAUCUUGGAU